AGUGAACGCUGGCGGUAGGCCUAACACAUGCCAGUCGAACGGCAGCACAGUAAGAGCUUGCUCUUACGGGUGGCGAGUGGCGGAUGGGUGCGGAAUACAUCGGAAUCUACUUUUUCUUGGGUGCUAACGUAGGGAAACUUACGCCAAUACCGCAUACGACGUACGGGUGAAAGCAGGGGAUCUUCGGACCUUGCGCGAUUGAAUGAGCCGAUGUCGGAUUAGCUAGUUGGCGGGGUAAAGGCCCACCAAGGCGACGAUCCGUAGCUGGUCUGAGAGGAUGAUCAGCCACACUGGAACUGAGACACGGUCCAGACUCCUACGGGAGGCAGCAGUGGGGAAUAUUGGACAAUGGGCGCAAGCCUGAUCCAGCCAUACCGCGUGGGUGAAGAAGGCCUUCGGGUUGUAAAGCACUUUUGUUGGGGAAGAAAAGCAGCAGGUUAAUACCCCGCUGUUCUGACGGUACCAAAAGAAUAAGCACCGGCUAACUUCGUG
rnacentral:rRNA from 1 species